AAAGCGUUUUUCUGUAACAUUUGAGAGUCAGGUGAGAACAAUGCAUUUGGUGUAAAAUGAACUUUGAAGGACAAAUACAUCCCUUGGCGUUUAAAGGUUAAACAUCGGAUAAGUAGUUUGUUCAAAUAAGUUAUUGCUCGAAAGAAUAUGUAAUGCGUUUUGUGAUGUGUUAUUGAACAAUGAAUCAUAGUGUAAGCAGUACAUUCAGCAAGCCACCCAGCCUUGAAGAAAUAGCGAAAAGUUGCUGUCGAUGUAUAAGCUGAUUUUCAUAAUGCUGAUGUUGUGCUCAGCAGUCAUGGGUGCUAGAAAGAAAAGGUUCCAGUAUAUGGGCAAUUGUGCACCAGCGUAUAUGGCUUGUGACCAGUGGAUACCUUGUUGUGACAGAAAUCAUCAAUGCAGAUGGCAAAGGAGAAAAGAUUUUUGGCCAAAAUGUCUACCGAGUUGAUGUUCUACUAUUAAACAUUGUAUUGCCUUCAUGGUGCUUAGUAUAAACCAUUUUUGUGAAGGUAGCUAGUAAAUAAAUUACACACUACUCGAAAGACAAGUUAUUCAAA